rnacentral:rRNA from 1 species
UGGGUAACCUGCCCUGUACACACGGAUAACAUAACCGAAAGGUAUGCUAAUACGAGAUAAUAUACUUUUAUCGCAUGGUAGAAGUAUCAAAGCUUUUGCGGGUACAGGACGGACCCGCGUCUGAUUAGCUAGUUGGUAAGGUAACGGCUUACCAAGGCGACGAUCAGUAGCCGACCUGAGAGGGUGAUCGGCCACAUUGGAACUGAGACACGGUCCAAAUUCCUACGGGAGGCAG